GAUGAACGCUGGCGGCGUGCCUAAUACAUGCAAGUCGAGCGAAUGGAUUAAGAGCUUGCUCUUAUGAAGUUAGCGGCGGACGGGUGAGUAACACGUGGGUAACCUGCCCAUAAGACUGGGAUAACUCCGGGAAACCGGGGCUAAUACCGGAUAACAUUUUGAACCGCAUGGUUCGAAAUUGAAAGGCGGCUUCGGCUGUCACUUAUGGAUGGACCCGCGUCGCAUUAGCUAGUUGGUGAGGUAACGGCUCACCAAGGCAACGAUGCGUAGCCGACCUGGGAGGGGGAUAGGCCACACUGGGACUGAGACACGGCCCAGACUCCUACGGGAGGCAGUAGUAGGGAAGCUUCCGCAAUGGACGAAAGUCUGACGGAGCAACGCCGCGUGAGUGAUGAAGGCUUUCGGGUCGUAAAACUCUGUUGUUAGGGAAGAACAAGUGCUAGUUGAAUAAGCUGGCACCUUGACGGUACCUAACCAGAAAGCCACGGCUAACUACGUGCCAGCAGCCGCCGUAA
rnacentral:rRNA from 1 species